rnacentral:rRNA from 1 species
AACGAACGCUGGCGGCAUGCCUAACACAUGCAAGUCGAACGAGACCUUCGGGUCUAGUGGCGCACGGGUGCGUAACGCGUGGGAACCUGCCCUUAGGUUCGGAAUAACUCCCCGAAAGGGGUGCUAAUACCGGAUAAGGUCUUCUGACCAAAGAUUUAUCGCCUUUGGAUGGUCCCUCGUUGGAUUAGCUAGUUGGUAGGGUAAAAGCCUACCAAGGCGACGAUCCAUAGCUGGUCUGAGAGGAUGAUCAGCCACACUGGGACUGAGACACGGCCCAGACUCCUACGGGAGGCAGCAGUGGGGAAUAGUGGACAAUGGGCGAAAGCAUGAUCCAGCAAUGACGCGUGAGUGAUGAAGGCCUUAGGGUUGUAAAGCUCUUUUAACCGGGAUGAUAAUGACAGUACCGGGAGAAUAAGCCCCGGCUAACUCCGUG